UUUGAAUUUAAUUUAAAGUAGGGCCUGCCCACUGAGUAUUUGAAGGGCCGCAGUAUUUUGACUGUGCAAAGGUAGCAUAAUCAUUAGUUUUUUAAUUGAAAGCUUGUAUGAAUGGUUUGAUGAAAAAAUUUCUUUCUAUAUUUAACUUAAUAAGAAUUUUAUUUUUAAGUUAAAAAGCUUAAAUUUUUUUAAUAGACGAGAAGACCCUAUAGAGUUUGAUUUUUUAUAAAUUUUAAAAUAUUAAGAAUUUAAAUUUUUAAUUUUAUUAAAAAUUUGGUUGGGGUGACUGAAAAAUUAAAUUAACUUUUUUUGAAUUAAAACAUUUAUUUAUGAAUAUAUGAUCCAAAUUAUUGAUUAUAAGAAUAAAUUACCUUAGGGAUAACAGCGUUAUUUUUUUUUAGAGUUCAAAUCGAAAAAAAAGAUUGCGACCUCGAUGUUGGAUUAAAGUUAAUAUUUGGUGUAGAAGCUAAAAUAUUUGGUCUGUUCGACCAUUAAAACUUUACA
rnacentral:rRNA from 1 species